GGCAGGAGUCUCCCCACUGAGGUCCACCUCUCUUUGGAGGCAAGAGGAGUGGCAUUUGUAACUCUGGGUAAGAGUUGAAAUUACUCACAUAGAAGAAGGAGAUGGGACCGGCAUGGAAACUAAUCAUAAUCCCGAAGAUGCAAGUCAGCUGGGACAGCAUGACAUGCAGUGCCACAGCAGCCAGUUGGUCCUGCCAGCUACCAUGCUGUGAAUAUGGAGAAGCCAGAAUGGGGAGGAACUCAGGCCUGCCAACAGCCAUAUGAGUGAGCCUGGAAGCAGAUCCUCCAGCCUCAGUAGAACCUUGAGAUAACUACAGUCUCACAAGAGACCUUGAACCAGAGGCAAGGCUCUAUUGAUUGCAAGAAACAGAAAAUCUACUCAAAUUAGCUGAAGCAAAAUAGGACAUUUAUUAAAAGGGUGCAAAGGG